rfam:Felis catus isolate Cinnamon breed Abyssinian chromosome C2, whole genome shotgun sequence.
ACCUGGGUGGCUCAGUCGGUUGAGCAUCCGGCUUCAGCUCAGGUCAUGAUCUCACAGUUGGUGGGUUCGAACCCCACAUCGGGUU